UCUACAUCGACACCCGUUCACACGGAUGAUUAUCAUAAACAUAAUAAAAUAGAACACUAAGAGAAAAAUCUAGGGUGCGAAAGCAUGUAGCUUGCAAGUCUCCAUUGAUACACAUUUCAAAACCAGUUGAAAUAAAACGUGAGGAUAGUCACUAUCCAUGGGAGGAGGCCGGGAAAGGGAUUGCUGGUAACCGGAAGUGAGGGGUCAGGGCAGGUCAUUUUGACCCCUUACCUUGAGCAGAAGGCAACCGAGCAACACAGGAAGAACGGCCUCGCCCUCCUUCUCGCCUAAAACCUGUCUAAGGGUUACAGAAAUCUGCACUAUAACGUUUCACUUCUCCUCUAUCAGGGUAAGGAAAAGAACUCUUACCUGCCUAACAAACCUUACUAGUCAGCCCUUAGCCCGGUCGCUAGUCACUUCCCCACAAGUAACCAGCCCUAGGGGCCUACUCUCCUACUACUGGUUCUGGCACCGUCCCUGGUAGGCGAGGCGGAGCUGGAGCGAGGCCGUCCCUGCUGACCGGGGAGAUGCGGCCGCUCCAAGAGCGGGGAACUCACCCAGGAGGCUGGUCCAGGGGCCGCAGGGCCGCGCACGCCUCCCCGCGGGGUCCCCGGGGCUCACGUGACGCCGGAAGUGGCCGCCGCUGCGCAUGCGCCCGGGGGGGGGGUCUCAGCGGCACGUGCGCACACCGGCUGCGCCCUGAAGAUGACUGCCGCGUGGGGUCUGAGGGCGCGGUGUCCAGUGUGAGGCGGCGGAGGGGGUAAGGACGCCCCCCGCCCCCUGUGCAGGGUUCCAGACCCCGGGUCAGCCAGUCGCAUGCCCUCCAGGAACUCCGCCAGCUCUCCAGCCCCCGGGCCCCCUGCUCCUCAUGCCCCGGGGCUGAGCCGGGGGUCCCUGGCUUGUUGGGCGGCGACCGGGCUGCGGCAGAGGCGGCCGUCCGGGCAGCCGUCCGGGCAGCCGUGGAGGCUCACGAGGGACGAAACAGGGUCACGAGAACGAUUCCAAAAUCUCCAUCUCACUUAUUAUCCCAUUUCUUCACUUGGCAUCCACAAAUACAACCCCUCACCCUCUGGGAGAGCCUGUGUGUAGAAGAGUAGUCUGCAGUGGAACAAUUAAUUCUGGGCUAGAACAAACAUUUCAGAAGAGAAGAGCCCUUCCGUAUGCUUCUCAAAUCAGACCCUUGGCACACAGCUAAUUCUUCAACCUGUGACUAAGGUACAGUCUGGUCAUUUUUGUCCUAAAAACUGCUGGGUCCCACAAAACCACUGGGCAGGGAAAAUUUAAAAGCAUUGUCCUUACCUUUGCAUGCUGUGAUUUCAGAAAUCAGUUAGUUUUUGCUGAGAAGUGGUGCCAAAAAUUAGUGGUUUAAAACAAGCAUUCAUUAUUUUUCAUGAUACUGUGGGUAGACUGGAUGACACCUGGACUGAAUCAGCUUGGCCGGAAUGAAUGGUCUAGGAUAGCUUCCCUCCCAGUUGGCAGGCUGGUUGGGCUACCAAGCCUCAGUUAGGUUGCCUUGACUCUGCUCCACAUGGUCUCUCAUCCUUGAAAACUUGCUGUGCUUCUGCACGUGGCAGUCUCCAAGUUCCCAAAAGCAGCAAGAAGUAGAUGUGUAAGUCCUUUCCAACUUUUUAUGGCCAGAGGAAGUUGUUCAAAGAAAAUCCAGUCCAGACUCAGUGUGGGAGGGUACUACCAAUGGGCAGAGAUGGGGGAAGAGAAUAAUUUAUAUCAAAUAUUUAUACCAGUAGCAAAAUAGAUAAUAUUUGUUGAUUUAAGAUUUUAGUAGGGUUGGUGGUGUAUUGAAGAAAAAUCCAAUCACCAGCCCAAAGUGUUCUGUACAUAGUUCCUAUUGGGCAUGUUGAUGUUACAUCAUCAAUUUCAGUUUAAUUCAGUCAAUUCACUGAUAUUCUCUCUCUGCUCUGAUACACAUAAGAUUAAAUAUGUUCAUGGUUCUCAGUGCACCUGAAAUUUAGUUGGGAUAAGUUUAAAAAGUUAAAAAACUUCACAAAGCAUUAAUUAUGAACCCAGCCAAAAAGAAGAGACAAAGGAUUCUAAAAGAACCAAUGGGAAGGGAGUUUAUAAGCAGUAAAGCACAGGGAUAGGGAUAGGAAUAGUCAAGUAAACAAAUGGCACUUGAGGUAGAACUUAAGGAAUAAGAAAUUUUCUAGAGAAAAGAGAAAUUGAGGACUUUUCUAGUGGAAGGAACCAAAAAGUAAAAGUUGUGGAAGUAGGAACAAUGCUGUCAUGACCUGGAGAUUUAUAAUAAACUGCUCUGACAUGCACUGAAAAGGUGAAUGGGAGCAAAAAGUAUUCUGUGGAUUACUGAAUUCCCUGUUCUUGCUGAUAUCACCUAGACUAGAGUUGAUGCUGUAGACCAGAACUCCUACUACUCUUCCUUAGAUUUUUGUUCAACUCUUUUAACCCCAGCAUUAAAAAUCUAAGCAGCUUGAAGUCGUGGGUAGUAACAGAGCUGCUUAAUUUACUUUACUUCUAAUUAGGUGAUAUUUAGCAGAAUCUAGGAUACACGAAUCCUUUGCUACUUAUCUCACAGAGUGCCAGAUUGUGUGAUAAUAUAUGCAGAGGAGAUGUUCUACGCAAAUCAUAUUUUAUAUUGCUUUGAGACUUCUGCUCCCACAUUCUGUACCAGGGUAUCCCUCCGUACAACCGCUCCUGCUAUUGAUUGGCUGCUCUUUCGAAGAUGUCCAUCUUAGCGACAAAAAAGAUACCAUGAGGGUCAAUAUCAAGGAGAAUAAAACAUAUAUGGUUACUCUACAGGGCUUCUUAAGGCAGGACUAUGAUCAGUGAUGUUGGCACUUAAACUGGACUCAUAAAAAAAGGGCAGAAACUAUGACAUGCCUACGACAGACAUCAUCAUGGAAGAGAACUUCAAAGUUGAGGUGUAACACCUUAAAAUGCUGUAGAUAGUAAAAGAUAAUGAGGAAUGAAAAUGUCUUAGACUUGAUGAUUAGGAGAACAGCAUGAAUUUCUCAUGACUUUGCUUCUGCUAGACAAGGAAGAUUUUAUGGAAUAGUGAGAAUGAAGUAUAUAAAAUUGUUAGUGUAUCCUUAGGAAUAGGUGAGAACAUCAUUGAUUAGGGAAUAGCAUCAGAGAAAAUCCUUAGAAAGGGAUUAGAAAGGCUGAAUAGAUGGAGAAGAUGAAGGAGGUGGUAGAGAAGGUAGUUAAUUCAAAUCUUACAAUCAAGUUAAUAUUAGUAACUAUUUAGUGAAGAACUAGGAUAUUUGGAUAUGGAGAAACGCCAACAAUUAAUAAAAUUUACUGCAUUUAAAAAUGUAAGAAACUGAGCCAAAUUGACUAAAUAAGUUAAACAUUUUAUAAAAUGUUACUUUCUGAUAUAGGUGUUUCUUUCAUGCCACUGUCUUCAUAGCUAAUGAUUCUAAUUGAAUGAGUAUUUAGAGACAAACUUCAUUUAAAGCAUUUCUAGUCUGUUGUUCAUUAUUCUUAUCCAGCUUUUGUAAGAUACACCUUAAAUUACUAAAUUAUAGUAAUUUGAAACUAUCAGCCUCCUUCCUGUCAUGGAAGUAAUUUAAAAUCCUAGAAUUUGAUGGCAUCAUCACAUCAGUCCCUCUUUUUGGAGGUAUACAAUUUACACUGUCCAGAGGAACAAGUUUCUAAAACAGUAUUCAGAGUAUUCUCAUUUUCCCACCUCUGAAGCUAAAAAAUAAAGCUUUAUCAUCCACACUAUCUGGAAUUACACAAUAUAUUUUUUUAAAUUAAAACUAUCAAACCUUCUCAAUUUAUCCUUAACAUCCUUUGAAGAAAAACAAAGUAGUUAUAUUUGACAAUAAUUUACUGGGCUUUAUUCUCCUUCCCUAGCCCAGAAACAUUCAAAAUAACUCAAUUAAAAAUAUAUAUAUAUAUGCAAUCGUCAAGAUAAAGAGGAAAAUUUUAUUUUUCUUAGCUUCUUUUGUAUUUUCUCAUUUAUUCAUAGAAUGAAUGAUUGGACAUCCCAUUGACUUAAACUAUGUUCUCCUGAAAACUACCUUUCUUUUGGAUAUUUCAAAUCCAGUCUAUAUGAAAAUUAAUUUUAAGGCUAUAGCAAAUGGCCAACACAUGGACAUCACAGAAAGACCCUAAAGUGUAGAGAUCAAGGUUAGGGCAAGGCUUAUUCAGGUUACAUAUGGUAACUGAGCAAAUUGGGUGUUCAG
rnacentral:lncRNA from 1 species